AGAAGUAAUGCGCUUCAUAAUGAAUUAAGCUCUGUAAAACAUCACAUUAUACUCCAUGAACUUCAAUUCAUUUGCCUGACAGUGCACUAGCAUUUUAAAUAAUAAACUACAAUGCUUUAUACCAGUUUCAUAAUCCACAACUGCUUUACCACACUGGCUCUGACAACGGCUGGCAACUCUUUUUACCUAGUACUUGCAGUACUAAUCUCAGCAGUCUAAUCAGGCAAUAAGAUACUGUAUCGGGACACUAACAUAACAAUUGAUAUGAACUGUAACUGGCCAUUACUCAACUCAACUCUUUUAACUCUCUUCUCCUGGUUAUAAUCUAAAUAAUGCUUCUUAGUUUUACGCUCUUAUUAAUGAUAAUCUAUAUAUAUCAUAUAUGAUGUAAUAGUAUAUGAAUGACUAUACAGUAAAUGGCUGGCCACAUCAAAGCACCAAAGUGGAAGACUCAUGGCAAUUGCAGGACAAAAGGUACAACACACAAUCUCAGUACAAACAUUUAGCAAGUGAAGACAAUUUGCAAGCUCAUGGAUCACAUACAGUAAGAACAGCCAACAGCUGCAUUGCAAAUAGGGAUGUGCAUAACUGCAUAUUUUCAAAACCAACCAGGUAAAGGCGGGGUGCAUGAUUUUUGAAAAACACACUUGUAGCCAAUCAGCAGUAACGGGCGUGUCUACUAUCUGACAUUGUUUCCUGGGUUGCGUAUGUGUGGGGCGGGUCUAUCAAAAGAAGGUCCAGAUUCUAUUGGGGUAGGGGCGUGUUUGUUUAGGUGAUUUCAAAUGUCAACAUUGGCUUUCAGAGAUCAUGCACCCCGCCUUUAAAUAUUUGCCUAAACAACUAGUGCUAAUGUGUUUAAAUUGUUUAGUGACUAUCACAUACUAUAAAACUUGCAUAUAAAGGUGCAUAAAAGGUUCUUUUUACGCAAUGCCAUGGAUGAACCAUUUUUGGUUUUCCUUAAAGAACCAUUCAAUCAAAGGUUCUUAAAAGAACAAUUGAAGAGUUUGGUUCCAAAACGCAAUAAAUCCAUUUUGACAAAUUUCGGUAAAAACGUGUUUUCUAUACCAAGAAAGUGACAAGAUGAAAAACACUAUUUUCUGUUACAAACUUUCCCAUAGCAUCUUUAGGUUAUAAAAACAUAAAAAAUUAAAAUCCAUAACUUGAUUUUUAAAGAUUUAUUAUAAAAACAAAUUAUUUUUUUUCAAAAUGCUAUAAAUCUAUUCAAUCAAUGUAUAAAUGUGCAUUCAUCUUUGCCAUGAUAUAUUAAUUUAGUUGAACAGUGGUAUACACUUAUAAAAAAUAAACAUUAAUGGCAUUAAUCAAAACACUGACUUUGUUAUAUUAAUGACACUGUCAUUGCUGCGGUUAUACUUGACGCCGUCGCUUAACAUUUUUCAAAGCGAUUCGCUGUAAAAUGUUUUGGUCCUGCUCGAUUUUCGUUGACUUUGAGUAAAAUAAUGGAAAGUUUUUCGUAAGAUCCCCUGCGGGGUCAAUGUGUUAAAAUCACAUAAACUUCACAGAUGCUGUCAGGAGAACAAGCACCCGUCUCCCGAGUGUCUCUCGCGUAAGUUAUUGGAUGUUGAUGACUUACAAUUUUUCCCGUCACAGAAAACAACCACAGGUUUAUCAAAGCUAUUAAAGUAUUAUUUUGCUUUUGUUUGUUUGUUGAUCACGAAGUACAAAGUAGAUGAGGAAAACUAAGAUUCCGUGUACUCAACGCAGCGCCAUUGUUUGUUUACAGUGCGUGGAGGGAAUGGUGCGCUGUAAUAUGUGGAGGGGGAUUUAUUGCGUUCUGUAGAAAAGGAGGAGUGGCAUAUAUCGCGUUUUGGGAAAAAAGGGAGAAAAGAUGACAGAAUAACAUGGCGGAUAUUGGAUUUUGCGUAAAAUUAAGAAUUUACUUUUAAAUACUGACCUGAUAUAGUACUGAUUUUGUCAGUAACUAAUUUUUUUUUCAAAAAUGGCGUUUAUUGCGUUUUGGAACCAAACUCUUCAAUUUCUUUCAUACAUUUUAAAGAACCUUUUUCCACUACAAAGAACCUUUUGUGAAACAGAAAGGUUCUUUAGAUUUAAAAGUUCUUUAUGAAACAAUUCAGCCAGAAAUGGUUCUUCUAUGGCAUCAUGAAGCACCCUUAUUUUACAAAGUGAAGAUGCAUAUUAGCUGUUACAAAGAAAUUGAAUAGAACGUUAGCAUGUUUUAAAGUCGACCUCUUCAAAUUUGACAUGCCAUCUUUAUGUUACUACACAGCAAAUUUAGCAGAGUUAAAAUUACGGUGUUAAUGGCAAUAUAAAGAGUUUGGAGUUAAUUUAACACUGGAUUGAGUUAAAACUAUUUUAUUUAACUCUAUAAAAAUAAAGAGUUGGUGUCAAAACAGAGUGUUACCACUUUUUAAAAAAAUCAACUCCCACAGUGUUUUCUUAGUGGAGUUUGUUAACUCCUAGGGUGUUAAAUAGAGAAGACCUCCCACUUUUUACAGCACACACUGAACAUGUUUUUGGAUGAUGCAGUUCAAGCAGAAGGUCUUCUCUUUUACUGUAAAUGGAGAUUUGCUUUGGGGACUUAAGAGGAGCACAGAAAUAGGCCUACAUGAAAAUUUCUUCAGACGAAGAGCAAUUUUAUAACAAAAAAAGUUCAAUAUCCAGUUUGAAGGUCUGACCGUCGAGGAUCAUAUCACCUCCUUACAGCUACUGGUUCAUCAUAUUCUGCUGUUAAUAUGUGAAGACCAACAUGGAUUUUGGAUUGAAAUGAAGUCAAACUUGUUUGUAUGAACUGAAGCAUCCCAUAAACUGUGUUUACUGUUGUUAUACAUUGGGAAUGUGCUUUUUAGUUGUCUCGGAUGUUAAUAUGUUAAUUUAAUGAACACUUAAAUGCAUGAUACAUUGAGGACAAUUUUUCUGUCAUAAAUAAAUGUUGAUCAGAU